AGCUACCAGUUCAGCUGAUGAAGUCACUGCUUGCACCUAUGCUGAUCUUUACGACAACAGAUACAUCAUCUCUGUUGGAUGGGGAAGGAAGAUCAGUAUUUUCCUAGAUAUUGAUGAUGAAGUCGUUGAAGGAUCAUACCCACAACUGGACUGGAUUAGAAGUAUGGAACAGGGCCACAAGGACGAUAUUUUAUGUGUAGCUUCGUGUCCUCCACAUUUCUUGGCCACUUCUAGUUUUGAUGGUGAAGUUCUCAUAUGGAAUCUGCUAUCGGGACAUCUCUGCAGCCGUCUUCAUGC